CAUAGGUUAAUGAGGCGAACCGGGGGAACUGAAACAUCUAAGUACCCCGAGGAAAAGAAAUCAACCGAGAUUCCCCCAGUAGCGGCGAGCGAACGGGGAGGAGCCCAGAGCCUGAAUCAGUGUGUGUGUUAGUGGAAGCGUCUGGAAAGGCGCGCGAUACAGGGUGACAGCCCCGUACACAAAAAUGCACAUACUGUGAGCUCGAUGAGUAGGGCGGGACACGUGGUAUCCUGUCUGAAUAUGGGGGGACCAUCCUCCAAGGCUAAAUACUCCUGACUGACCGAUAGUGAACCAGUACCGUGAGG
rnacentral:rRNA from 1 species